rnacentral:misc_RNA from 1 species
GAAAGAUACAGUCAAGAAUGAGCUGAGGAGAUGUUAUGACGAAGCGCAAGAGCUUCUCCAUUCAGCAUCUAGACCAAAGUUAGCGCUAGUAAUUGAUGGGAAGGUGUUAAUGUAUGCCUUAGACCCUAAUCUUCGUGUAAUGUUGUUGAACUUGAGCUUGAAUUGCAGUGCAGUGGUUUGCUGUCGUGUUUCUCCUUUACAGAAAGCUCAGGUAACCAGCUUGGUUAGGAAGGGGGCUCAGAG